GCAGUCGUUAUGCAGAUGAGGUCCAGCUGAGAGCGCAGGAGGCCGCCUGGCUCGUUAGGCCGCGGCCCGGCAAAUGGCUCGCUAAUGUAACACUGCUUCCUGGUCUAAUGGAGCCCUGUUUUGUAGAAUUAUUUGUCUUUGCACGCGGUGGGGAGUGGGGGGGGGCACUGACAGCGAGGAGGAGGAGAGAAGGGCGAGGUCACUUCUGUCUCUCUGGCUGCCUGCACCAUACCAGGAGAGUGCCCCAGCAGACUGUGACCUGAUGACACGCCAUCGUCCAGUGGUGCGUUCUGUGUGAGAUGGUGAACUUGAAACGCUGCUGCUGUGAUUGGAUGACAUCUGAGCAUCCUCCAAUGAGGGAGAAGGGGAGGGGCUGCCACGCACUCGCUCCUGACAAACGACGAAACAAAACUUUGAUUUGGAUGUAAAACUUUGUUUCGAAGAUGGAAAGUAGUAGCAACAAAACCCACAAAAAACUGUAACACGUGAAAUAUGUAACAUUAAUUUGAUAUUUUAAAGCGAACUACCUAACCUACAUAAUAACUGUCAUAUUUUGAUUCCAAAUAAAAUGACGUUGAACUCUGGA